UUGAACUGAAGAGUUUGAUCCUGGCUCAGAUUAAACGCUGGCGGCAUGCCUUACACAUGCAAGUCGAACGGCAGCA
rnacentral:rRNA from 1 species